rnacentral:rRNA from 1 species
GACGAACGCUGGCGGCGUGCUUAACACAUGCAAGUCGAGCGGAAAGGCCACUUCGGUGGUACUCGAGCGGCGAACGGGUGAGUAACACGUGAGUAAUCUGCCCCUGGCUUUGGGAUAGCCACCGGAAACGGUGAUUAAUACCGGAUAUGACCACUUCACGCAUGUGAUGGUGGUGGAAAGUUUUUCGGCCAGGGAUGUGCUCGCGGCCUAUCAACUUGAUGGUGAGGUAAUGGCUCACCAUGGCUUCGACGGGUAGCCGGCCUGAGAGGGUGACCGGUCACACUGGGACUGAGACACGGCCCAGACUCCUACGGGAGGCAGCAGUGGGGAAUAUUGGACAAUGGGCGGAAGCCUGAUCCAGCAACGCCGCGUGAGGGAUGACGGCCUUCGGGUUGUAAACCUCUUUCGCCUGUGACGAAGCGCAAGUGACGGUAACAGGUAAAGAAGCACCGGCCAACUACGUGCCAGCCGCCGCGGUAAUAC